UUCCCUGACAGCUACUGGAGUGCCAGGUGCCUUCCAUACAUCAUCUCAUAUCAAGCUUGCCAGCAACUUGCAAGGUCACCAUCACACCCCCAUCUCAGGAGUAAAGAACUGGGGUCCAUCUUCGCCAAGCUAGAGAGUGGCAGAGAUUGGACCCACCGUCCUGUCCCAAAGGAGGUGUCUCCUCAAAGGAAGAAGAAGACUCAAGCCAUGAGAAGACACAGGACUGAUUCAAGUCUGUGGGAGUUCUUGAGCUUUCUCCAAGAGCUCCCAAUAUUCCACAAAGACCAGUAGUUCUCGGCCCUAAGUAUGAAUUAGAGUCAACUGCGGAAUCUUUAAAAAUGCAGAUGCUCAGGCCCACCUCGUACCUGAAUUUCAAGGAAUAGUUGUGUGCAUUCUGAAGAAGUUCUCCAGAGGCUGCUGCAGGUUUUUAUAAAAAAUUCUCUCUGGCCUCAAAUCUUCCUCCAUGAGUGGAUUUGAUGAUUUGGAAACAACUGAAGUCAUUUGGAAGUAAAUCUGGUG